CUCGCCGUCUCUGCAAGAUUAACGAUGGCAGUUUGCACGCACAGCCACUUAGAAGAUUUACAUCUGGCAGACAGGUUGCUGACGUCGUCAAGCUUCGUUUGAGUCUGCGCGUCAGAAACGGAAGUGCUAAAAAACGCUAAAACUGGGAUUCAUUCGUCUCAAUUGAGUUCAAAUGGGGUCGCUGUGUCCAUUUCUUUUACUGUCUAUGGAGAGGACUCGUCUGACAUUUUCUCUGUUUCUCGUCAGUUAUACCAAAGAAAAGGCCAACAACUGCGACAGAUUUUGAUUUCAGGAGUGUCUUAAAAACCCUCUAAAACAGAGGAGAAGUUCCAAGAAAAUGUCUAACGGGAGCUGCUGACAGAGAUAGAAAACACAGUUUGUUUAUUUCUAAUAAGGAGCUGGAGGCCGUGAAGAUACAGAUCCAUGAUAUUGUGGAGAAGCAGGCCCAGCUGAGCGAGUGGAGAGCUGUGCUGGAAAUAUUCAGGGGUUGAUGCUCAUAAGUCCAGGGUAAGUAUACAGCUAACCCUACUACCACCUCUACUCUGUGUAGUUCUCUGCAAAGGCCCGGUGUACCCAGGAUGCGAUCUUCCCAGAUGUCCUUCACCCUAUUUCAUAGUGUAAGACAUGAUCCAGGCCCUGGGCGACGACCUCUCUCCAUCCGCCGCCUCCGGUCUUCAGGAUCUCCACCAGAACCCGAUUCGCUCCACUUCGCGAGACAGAACAAAACGCUGUGAUCAUCAGAGACUCCAUCG